rnacentral:rRNA from 1 species
UACAGAGGUCCCAAGCGUUGUUCGGAUUCACUGGGCGUAAAGGGUGCGUAGGCGGUCGGGUAAGUCUGAUGUGAAAUCUCACAGCUUAACUGUGAAACUGCAUUGGAUACUAUUCGGCUUGAGAGUUGGAGGGGGGACUGGAAUUCUUGGUGUAGCAGUGAAAUGCGUAGAUAUCGUGAGGAAUACCAGAGGCGAAGGCGGCUACCUGGACAAUUGCUGACGCUCAGGCACGAAAGCGUGGGGAGCAAAAGGG